rnacentral:lncRNA from 1 species
AGCCCAAAUCCUAUUUGAGUUGAGAAAAGGGAGGCCCAGAGAGAGGUGCUUACUCAGGCCGGGCACAGUGGCUCACACUUGUAAUCCCAGCACUUGGGAGGCCAAGGCAGGCGGAUCACCCGAGGUGGGGAGUUCGAGAUCGAGGUGCUUACUCAAACCAGCUAUACAUUUUUUCUUUAAAAAUACAGAUACAAACUAACCAAUGUAAGUUUGCAUGGUCCCUUCAUCUCAAACUUACUAGACAUCUCUUUUUUUUUUUGAGAUGGCAUCUCACUGUGUCACCUAGGCUGGAGUGCAGUGGCACCAUCUUGGCUCACUGCAACAUCUGCCUCCUGGGUUCAAGCGAUUCUUCUGCCUCAGCCUCCUGAGUAGCUGGGAUUAUAGGCAUGCACCACCACACCCAGCUAAUUUUUGUAUUUUCAGUAGAAACAGGGUUUCUUCAUAUUGGCCAGGCUGGUCUCGACCUCCUGACCUCAGGUGAUCCACCCACCUUGGCCACCCAAAGUGUCAGGAUUAUGGGCGUGUACCACCGUGCCUCGCCACAUCUCUCUUUCUUAUAUCCUCUUGCUUACCAUGUUAUUCCACACAUAGCUUUGGUAGCUAUGAAUAUACAUUAAGCGAUUAUUUCUGGGUAUCUGGAGGGAAGGAAAAAAACAGGCAAGAAAACAUAUUCUAAAUAUAAAAAGUGCUGUACUUUUUUUUUUUUGAGAUGGGGUCUUGCUCUCUUGCCCAGGCUGGAGUGCAGUGGCACGAUCUAGGCUCAUUGCAGCCUCCACCUCCCGGGUUCAAGCAAUUCUCCCACCUCAGCCUACAGACUAGCUAGGAUUACAGGGGUACACCACCACACCUGUCUAAUUUUUGUAUUUUUAGUAGAGACAGGGUUUCACCAUGUUGGCCAGGCUGGUCUCAAACUCCUGACCUCAGGUGAUCCGCCCACCUUGGCCUCCCAAAGUGCUGGAAUUACAGGCGUGAGCCACCACGCCC